rnacentral:rRNA from 1 species
UACGUAGGGGGCUAGCGUUGUUCGGAAUUACUGGGCGUAAAGCGCACGUAGGCGGCUUUGUAAGUCAGGGGUGAAAUCCCGGGGCUCAACCUCGGAACUGCCUUUGAUACUGCAAGUCUCGAGUCCGAUAGAGGUGAGUGGAAUUCCUAGUGUAGAGGUGAAAUUCGUAGAUAUUAGGAAGAACACCAGUGGCGAAGGCGGCUCACUGGAUCGGUACUGACGCUGAGGUGCGAAAGCGUGGGGAGCGAACAGG